UACUUUUGCACACGCAUACGAAAAACGUAUCUACAUAAUAAUCAUUUAAAUAAUAUUAAAAUG
rnacentral:ncRNA from 1 species